GGCCUCGUAGCUCAACUGGUAGAGCAUGCGCUUUAUAAAGGCGUAGGUGGUCUCCAUGUGUGUGGGUUAGAGUCCCACCGAGGCGA
rnacentral:tRNA from 1 species